AGGGCUCUUCCCCGGCUGACAUCACUGGGGUAGGAUUUCAAAGCGGCGAAGCCUGGCCGGGGAAGAGCUCAGCUGUCAGCCGUGCGCCGGGAUUAACUGACCCAGAUAACCAGGGAGAAGAAAACAGCAAUUUGAGCGUGUUUCUUCUGCAGCAGGAAGCAGCCUGCCUCUCUCCCGCCUCCUGAACACCCACGGACGAAGGGAGCCUUUCUCUCGCUGUGCACACACAGGCUCGGGUCCUGCUGACCAGUUGCUGCCCAUCCCGACUCCUCGCAUCUCCUAACUUGUGCCUGAAGUGAGAUAGGUUUAAUUCGCUGCAAUGAAUAACGGUGUUAACGCAUCCUCCUUCCCUAAGCAAAACAAAUUCUAAAGAAUCUGAUUUUCAGUCAUCUAUUUAUAGAUCACUAGCUUGUUAGUUGGUGAGCGAAGACCUGGUUACAUAAAAUAUUUUUUUAAUGUAGAAAACAACUGAUAGGGAAUUGCUAGCUUCCCUACAGAAAUGCUACUAAACAUAAGGCAUAAAUAAUCAAAAAGGAUGUGUGAGCCAUCAUUAUGAUUUCAUAAAAGGUGAAGUUACAAGCGAUUUUUUAAUGCUCUUCAUCUAAACUACUGAGACCUAAAAAGUUCUGUAUGACCAAGGAUCUGGCCCCAGCCUACUCUUCAAGCCACACCCGCUCCUUGACUUCGUACAUCCAGCUUCCUCCUCUCUGUUCCUAUAAUCCAUCAGGUCUUUGAUUUUGCUGUUUCCGUCUUCCCCAGAUCUGUGUGUGGCACAGUAUGUAGGGUACGCAGUCUUCUGGCUGGGGUGGGGACCGCCCCAUUGGUUAUGGCCAAAGCAGGCUGUGAGCAGUGCAGGCUGCAAAGAGUGAACCCCACAACUGGCUUGUUUAUGGAAGUGAGUCGGACGGAAGCCUACGUGCCAAAGUCAGAGUGACUCUUACCCAAAUUCCAUUACUAGGAUUAAAAUGUUCUUUACUAAAACGACAAGGUUAUUUGCUAAUCGCAACCUAUAUUCUGUCUGUUCUCUUCCUAUUUCAAGAAUGCUUUGUCUCUUCCUUUACAAGCCUUGCCUGCGUCAACAAUGUAUCCCUAGCAACAACAUGCUUCCCCUUUACUCUAACUUAACUGUGAUGUCACACUAAAUAUCAACAGCUUUGGCUGGCCGGGGCCUUGGCUUGCUCAAGCCUCUGCCUGCAUAAGCAAGGUGCCUUUUGUGGGCCACCCUGUGGAGAGGACAGCAUGACAAGGAACUGGCCUAGGAGGAAGUGAAUCCUGCCACCCAUCUUCUGAGUGAGGGAUCCUGGGAAAACUGUCACAUAGAGAAAAACCACUGAAUCCAGGACCCAAACUCUCAGGCUAGCAGCCACUGGCUUUGUGACCCAGGCAAGUCACUUAAUGUAUUUGAUCCUUGCUAUUUCUCAUUCCUGAAUCAGGGUAACCGUAUUCACACCCAGGUAGUUGUAAAUAGUAAAAUCAUGUAUGGAAUCACUUAGCAUAUUAAAAAUACCUUCUUCCUCAUCUCCACCACUUUAUCCACCUGUCUGUCUUGCACACAUGUAUUAUUUUCUUUCCUUAA